GUCACAUCCUCCCAUAGCAACAAAGAGCCAACAAACACAGCCAGGGCUGAAGGCAGAAGAGAGGCAGAAAACGAGUAAUGGGGCAUCCUGGAGCGAGAAUGCUUUUCUUCCACUGUUGCAGGAGGAAACUAGCUGAGGUGGAAGUAAGAACAGGGAAGAGAAGGCUUAAGGAUGAAAGAGAAGAAUUAAAAGAAUGGAAGGAAUCUUCCUCUGCAUAAGUCUUUUCCUUGAGUCAACUUCAACCCUACUGGUGGGUCAUAAGCCUUGAAGAAGGAUUGAGUUUUUUAUAUAGCCCAGUUGACGACUGGCCUCCAAGGAAAAACAAUUGGAAAGAAGACUGGAAGUCCUAGCCAGGAACAGAUUUGUGAGCAAAGGAAAUCAGCCAGAAGAACUGAUGCUUCAGGUACCAAGUCUCUUCAAUUGGUGCCAACAAUCUGGAAGGCCAGGAAUAUGAAAAUCUUGACUGUGUUUGCGAACUCCUGGAAGGAAUGGUUGAUAGGGAAGUCUGAGCCUAAGUACCUGGAUAUUCUCUUAGAACACCUGGGUUUAGGGUGUAACUAUAAACAGGGUAAGAGUUACCUGGGUCUAGAGGUGUCAUGGACUCACAACCAUCACAAUAGUUGUUUCAAUGUAUUUUGUUUUACUUCCUUUGUUUCUAUAGGUAUGAAUAAAGAAUGGCAUCCAGUUAAA